GCCUACUGUUUAAUUUUGAAAGUUCUUUACGAACUUUAUAUAUGGGGGUGUAGCUCAGUUGGGAGAGCACUUGCCUUGCAAGCAAGGGGUCAGGAGUUCGACUCUCCUCAUCUCCACCAUUUAAGAGUAUAUUACUUAAAUCUUUGAUUUACUUAGUAGCCUCUUACAAUGCACUUAUAGCUUAAAUUUAUACAGGCUUUGUGUGUUAGCACUUUAAGCAACAGAAUAAACUGAACACAUGUGAAGUUUGUUUGUUGGCGCUGUGCAUUAGCACUUUAAGCAACGAGAUUUAUCCGUUGGCGCUGUGCUUUAGCACUUUGAAAACUGCAUAUAUAUAUUUAGUGAUAUGACAUCUAAUUUGUAAUAUAUAAAGCUGAUAACUUUUUAAAAUUAUCGAAGUUGAUAGCUUCUAAUCUAUCAAACCUUUUUAACUGGUCAA
rnacentral:tRNA from 1 species